GACGAACGCUGGCGGCGUGCUUAACACAUGCAAGUCGAACGAAGUGGGAACGGGUGAGUAAUACGUGAGUAACCUCCCUCCUUUUUGGGAUAAGCCUUGGAAACGGGGUCUAAACCGGAUAGAUGGGCUCGCGGCCUAUCAGCUUGUUGGUGGGGUGAUGGCCUACCAAGGCGGUGACGGGUAGCCGGCCUGAGAGGGUGGCCGGCCACAUUGGGACUGAGAUACGGCCCAGGCUCCUACGGGAGGCAGCAGUGGGGAAUCUGCCGCAAUGGACGAAAGUCUGACGGAGCAACGCCGCGUGAGUGAUGACGGCCUUCGGGUUGGAAAGCUCUGUUAAUCGGGGCGCGGUACCGGAAUAGAAAGCCACGGCUAACUACGUGCCAGCAGCCGCGGUAAUAC
rnacentral:rRNA from 1 species